GUCUGUGAUGCCCUUAGAUGUUCUGGGCCACACGCGCGCUACACUGAUGCAGUCAACGAGUUUUUCUCCCUGGUUCGAGAGGAUCGGGAAAUCUUCUCAAAUUGCAUCAUGAUGGGGAUAGACCAUUGCAAUUAUUGGUCUUCAACGAGGAAUUCCUAGUAAGCGCGUGUCAUCAGCUCGUGUUGACUACGUCCCUGCCCUUUGUACACACUGCCCAUGGGUGUGUGUUUUUUGGUCCGGUGGGAGUGCUUUGUUGAAACCUGGAGCUCAAGU
rnacentral:ncRNA from 1 species